rnacentral:rRNA from 1 species
UACGGAGGGUGCGAGCGUUAAUCGGAAUUACUGGGCGUAAAGGGUGCGUAGGCGGUUCGUUAAGUCUGUCGUGAAAUCCCCGGGCUCAACCUGGGAAUGGCGAUGGAUACUGGCGAGCUAGAGUGUGUCAGAGGAUGGUGGAAUUCCCGGUGUAGCGGUGAAAUGCGUAGAGAUCGGGAGGAACAUCAGUGGCGAAGGCGGCCAUCUGGGACAACACUGACGCUGAAGCACGAAAGCGUGGGGAGCAAACAGG